rnacentral:lncRNA from 1 species
AGAAAUUAAAGAGAAAAAACUGAUAUAAUAAUAUAAUUAAAUGUAUUUUACAUUAACAGUGAAGCAGGAGAUGAGACAUACAAAAGAAAUGGUACAUAGUGAUGCUAAAGUAUAACCCUACGGAAUUGUAUCAAGUUUUUCUUAUUAUGAUGACAAAGAAGGUUAGUAACAAAGGAAAUGAGUACACACAUGUUGCUUGUGUGAACAUAUUACUGAAUUGGAGUGAGAGGAUUAAUUCAUUUACAAUAAAAUUGAUGACUUUCUUGUAGAAGAUCAAAGAUGGAGUGAUGUUCGUUUUCAUAUCAAUUUGUGGUAUUCAUGAUGUCUACAAAAUCUAUUUGAUAUCAUGAAUUCCACAAAUUGAUAUAAAAAACAACAUCACUCCAUUUUUGACCUACUAUAAGAAAGUCGUCAACUUUUUAUUAAUAAAUUAACCUUCCCAUCUAUCUUCAAGACCAAGGGUCCAGUCUUCCUCGCCCAUGCAACAUGUGUUGUUUUAUUCUGUUGCUUCCUUUGUCUUCUAUGACAUUUACUCACCACUCAUCCCACCAAAUAUUGUUGCACUCUGACGUAGCAGUAGGACAUGCCUGAUCAAUAUUGCACUGUUAGUCCCAACUCUAAUCCUCCCUAAGCCACAACAGUGAUGAUGUUCUUGUGAUUUUGGAGGCUGAGGCUUUAUCACAACAUGCAUGACAUUCCAUGAAAAUUUCCUUUGACCUUGCAUUAAUAUCUCCCUUACGAGAGCUUACCUUCAUGAAAAUGUAGGUUGUCCAAUAGUUCUGCACAUCAUUAGAAGUUCUUUUAGUAAGUAAUAAUUAAAGGACCCUCUUCAAACAUAAAGAAAACAUGAAUUUUUCUUUUUUAAUAUUAUGUGUUUAGACAUGAAUUAUAAUGUGUAUUCUUAUAACUUUAUAUUAACGUACCAAUAUAAAUGAAUUUUAUGGAUGAAGCGAAAGCAAUGGAAAGAGAAAACAUGCAAAAUUACGAUGAUAAAAGCAAUAUAUAUUACCUGCUAGUUUAGGCACAAUAUUGUUGCACACACUUCAUGUGCCUUUUCUCAUAUAACAAGAUGCUUCGCACUGCAACAUACACUACUCAUAUCUAUUUAAACUGGGCUUACUUUCAAUAUACAAUUUGGUUCACCAUAUCCUCAUUUUACUAAACUCUUACGUGUAAUAUAAAUAUAUAAAAGAAACAAACUCACACACACUUGAAGAAAUUUAACGUGCAAUGCCUACUUUCCAUGAAGCCAGAAAGUUUUCAUUAAUAAUAUGUUUCCUUUCUGGCUGGAGUGUAAGAGAUUCUAUAUAUGCUGUGAG